rnacentral:lncRNA from 1 species
CCAGAGUUCUAUAUACCCCUGGCCACACUGAUGAUCACAUGGCUCUACUCUUAGAAGAGGAAAAUGCUAUCUUUUCUGGAGAUUGCAUCCUAGGGGAAGGAACAACGAUAUUUGAAGACCUCUAUGAUUAUAUGAACUCUUUAAAAGAGUUAUUGAAAAUCAAAGCUGAUAUUAUAUAUCCAGGACAUGGCCCAGUAAUUCAUAAUGCUGAAGCUAAAAUUCAACAAUACAUUUCUCACAGAAAUAUUCGAGAGCAGCAAAUUCUUACAUUAUUUCGUGAGAAUUUUGAGAAAUCAUUUACAGUAAUGGAGCUUGUAAAAAUUAUUUACAAGAAUACUCCUGAGAAUUUACAUGAAAUGGCUAAACAUAAUCUCUUACUUCAUUUGAAAAAACUAGAAAAAGAAGGAAAAAUAUUUAGCAACACGGAUCCUGACAAGAAAUGGAAAGCUCAUCUUUAGUUUCAGAUUAAAGAAAGCUUUGUUUUAUUUUGCUUUGAGAGAAUGGUGAAAAUGUUCUACUUGGUGGUCCGUGGCAGAUGUCAGUGCAUAAUAGCCUUAUGAAGCAUCCCCAGAAACUGCUGCUGUCUCCAGAAUGUGCCAGCCUCCCAGGAACCAAUUACCUGUCACCAUUUUCCUGUCUGUUCCUAAGAACUAGAACCCUCUUGAAAGUACAACAAAUUCAAACUGAAGUCCUUCCUCUAUCUGUGAUUGCUGAAAUUAUUUUAGAAAUCACCCUACUAGAUAUGCCCACAGUCCUUGGCCAUUGCCUCAAAUACAAGUCACUCCAUCCAUUCUUCUCAUUCACUAACAUUCACAUUACUGUUGGAUUUUUCUUCCCUGAUCCAACCACCUC